UAUGAAACACAUUUCCGAUAACGUUUCGUAUAUUUUUCAUACUAUAUAUUUUUUUGAUAUUUCGUAAUCUUCUUACUUGGACGUGUUUUUGUUAUAACAGAAAUAUAUAUUGGUAUUUACUUUUAUGAAGUUAAAAAGUGAGAGAUAAAAUAUUUUAGAACUGCAGCGCAGACUAACAUAAUGAACGUCGUUCUGAACACGGCUAUCAUCAGCUUCAUCGUGGUGUCAGUCCAGACCCUACCCAGUCCACGGGAUGGAACGCGAGCGGGGAACAACGACACAACCACUACAAACUAUUGGUUCAGGAGGUUUAACUAUAAUGAAAUUUACAAGCACACCGAUGAUUACAGACCACUUUUCGAAAACGAAAAGUAUAUUCACUUUACUAUGAACUGUUUGCUGGACAGAGCACCGUGCAAGGAUUACCAGACUCACAGAGAAUGGUUUCCUUUUAUUGCUAAAUCGGAAUGCGCAUUCUGCAAUCCAAUACAGAAAGCAAGAUUCAACUCUACGAAACAUUUCCUCAUAAAGAAUUAUCCACAAUAUUAUGAAGCCCUGGUACAGAAGUAUUCCAAAGACGAUUACUAAGUAAUCCUAAAAAUGGUUAUCCUUAUUUUCUCAUUAAAUUUAGUCCUGACUAUAAUAAUAUAAUAUAAAUAUACCCAAUAAUAUAAAUUUAGUGAAAUUAAGUUUGUUACCUCUUCACGCUCUAUCUAUGAAAUUUUGCAUACAUAUAUAGUUUGAAGUACGCGGAGAAGGACAUAUCGUACCUUUUAUCCUCGAAAAAUAACUGCUGCUAAUAUGGAUAAUUGGUAUUUAUAAAACUCUAUUAAAUAAAUUAAAAAAUUAGAAUAGGAAGUUGAA